GCGAGAAUGGCGGAAUUGGUAGACGCGCUGGUCUUAGGAGCCAGUGGGCUAGCCCCGUGGGGGUUCGAUUCCCCCUUCUCGCA
rnacentral:tRNA from 1 species